rnacentral:rRNA from 1 species
UGCGAACUCCUACGGGAGGCAGCAGUGGGGAAUAUUGGACAAUGGGCGAAAGCCUGAUCCAGCCAUGCCGCGUGAGUGAAGAAGGCCUUUUGGUUGUAAAGCACUUUAAGCGAGGAGGAGGCUACUUGGAUUAAUACUCUAGGAUAGUGGACGUUACUCGCAGAAUAAGCACCGGCUAACUCUGUGCCAGCAGCCGCGGUAAUACAGAGGGUGCGAGCGUCAAUCGGAUUUACUGGGCGUAAAGCGUGCGUAGGCGGCUUUUUAAGUCGGAUGUGAAAUCCCUGAGCUUAACUUAGGAAUUGCAUUCGAUACUGGGAAGCUAGAGUAUGGGAGAGGAUGGUAGAAUUCCAGGUGUAGCGGUGAAAUGCGUAGAGAUCUGGAGGAAUACCGAUGGCGAAGGCAGCCAUCUGGCCUAAUACUGACGCUGAGGUACGAAGGCGUGGGGAGCAAACAGGAUUAGAAACCCUUGUAGUCCAGAUG